rnacentral:rRNA from 1 species
AAUAUUGGACAAUGGGGGCAACCCUGAUCCAGCCAUGCCGCGUGUGUGAAGAAGUUCUUCGGAUUGUAAAGCACCUUAAGUUCGGAGGAAGGGCUUUAGGUUAAUACCCUUAAGUUCGUACGUUACCAUCAGACUAAGCACUGGCCAACUCUGUGCCAGCAGCCGCGGUAAUACAGAGGGUAAAAGCGUUAAUCGGAAUUACUGGGCGUAAAGCGCGCGUAGGUGGUUCAGUAAGAUGGGUGUGAAAUCCACGGGCUUAACCUGGGAACUGCUUUCAUAACUGCUGGGCUAGAGUACGGUAGAGGGUAGUGGAAUUUCCUGUGUAGCGGUGAAAGGCGUAGAUAUAGGAAGGAACACCAGUGGCGAAGGCGACUACCUGGACUGAUACUGACACUGCGGUGCGAAAGCGUGGGGAGCAAAC